CAGGAGUACCGUAAACGAAUUCUACAAAAAAUUAUUCGUGAUUACCUGGAUAAUCAAACUAAGGAAGGAUUGCAGGGAGAGGCAGAAUGAGCAGUUUUUGAAGAAUAUUUAAAAAUAAAGGUACAUGUGGAUAGAAUGCAAAAAUUGUUUUCCAACUUUGUAUUGUCGGAAGGGUCCCUGUAAAAAACGGAAACCGAAAAGACCGAAUCCGGAAACGACCCAAACCGGAAACGACCCAAACCGGUAAUUCCCGCCUAAUUUCCCGCAUAAAAUUGCAUAAAAUUUAGCCUGCGAGCAGGCUCACUGGGAGAAAGGUGAGCCUCCACGGAACCAUGCGUUUUAUUCAUUCAUCCCCUUUUCGCAUCUGCUAAACGCGAACCAAUUAGAGUCGACCGGGAUAAUAAACAAAGACUGUCAACUGUCAAAUCGACGCAGGGCGUGAAAUGUACAACGAAGAAAUGUAAAAAACAAGUGUAACUCCAAAGAUCGAUAACAUUUUUAUAUUUAUCAACGUUUCGACUAUAUUUCAGUCAUCAUCAGGAUAAAGAAAUAUAUAUAACAAUAAUACGAAGCGUUAGCAAGCCGCUCAAUAUAUUAAAUAUGGGCUCCAGAUAAUACAUUACGAGUUAAUCAAUACACAUACAAAUUAAAAGCCGAAUAAAAUACUACCAUUGAAUGCAAUAAUACUUGUACUACUUGUGAUUGAAAUAACAAAGUUCUGAAUAUUUGAAGCUGUUAACUAAAAUGCCGUCAGAUAGAUUGGGAUUUGGAAUACGUCUGAAUGAGCAUGCAUUUAAUUUUUUCGAAAUAACGAGCGUGCCAUUAUAGUGGAAGCCGUAUCGUAUGUCAAAUGAGAAAGUGAAUGCAAUAUCGUUUUUAUUAAACAAAACCAGUAUUGUUCAGGAAGUUAAUAAUAUGCAGUAAGAUUAUUAAAUAAUUUACAAAAUUGUCAGCAGUUAAAUAUUAUACAAGUAAUACAACCUGACGAAUUACGACAUUCGGACGAUAUUUAUCUAAAUGAUAUGCCAGCGAUCGAGCAUCAACAAGAAAAUUUAUAUUCGUUAUGCGGGAAAUUAGGCGGGAAUUUCCGGUUUCGGUCGUUUCCGGAUUCGGUCGUUUCGGUCUCCGUUCUUUACAGAGACCCUUGUCGGAACUAAUUUAUUAGUCUUAGUGCGUGGUUACCCUGUUAGUACAUAGCAUUCAUGACAUAUACAGGGUGUUUAUAGUCUUUGAUUCAAAUGCCCGUUUUAAGUUAAGUUCAAUGCACGAAACUUCACUAGCGUUCCUAAAUUUUAUCAGAGAAUACAAAGGUUUCGUGAUUGGGUCACUUACCUAAACCAUGUUUCCAGGGUGACCAAGUUUAUGAUGGCGUGUCAAGCCAUAUUUGUAUUUUUUUCUUCUCAGCAACUGUUGGUUUGAUGUUAUUUCAACUUUUUAGGGCUGAAGCAUAUUUUUGUAAGCUGCAAAACAUUUGGGAUACUUUUACCAUUUAUGACGUCAUCAAUCAAAGAUGGCGGAAUUCAAGCUGGCGGGAUCAUGACGUCACUAGAUGACGUAAUGUAGUUAAGAAUCCAGGCAUUUAGCUUUAAAAGUGAAGAGUAGGUACAGAAUAUUUCAAGUUAUCAAUUGAUGAAAUAAUUUUCCGAAUAAAAAUUCGCCAGAUCUCAUAUCUGCAUAUGUAAUGAUAAUCACAAACGUUUUCGACAAAUCUUCGUUUUUAUACGUUUUAAUUACUAUAGCUACGUUGUUCUGCUUCGAUAUCUAAAUAGAUUAGAAAUUGCAAAACUAUUGUUUUACCAAUAUACAUUAGAAAUAUUUCUUCAUAUUACAGAAAUUCGAGUAUUUGGCUAAUGAUGACGUCGUGAUGACGUCGCCACGUGUUGCCAUGAUAACGGAAGUUGUAAGUGAGCUUCUACUUGCACGAGCAUCAUUCUCUGAAAGUUUCAUUGUGAUACCUUAUAUAGUUUUUGAGAUAUUAACUUAACUUAUUUAGUACUAAUACGAUAGUUUAAUUAAUAAGUAACUAGAUUUUUUGUCCAUAAAUACCUUAAUUAAUUCAUUCAUUUUGUAAAUUUGUAUGUUCCAUGUAACUGCAUGUCAUAUGUGUAAUUGUUUUUGUUGAAGCAGAACUCCAUUUAAACCUGUCAAUGGCUGAAUUGGACGAUCCUGAUUAAAUAUUGUUAUCAUCAAAUAUAAAUAAGUAUUGUUAUCUUCAACUCUCAUUACUUGGCCUACCAUUGUUAAAAGAGUUGAGUUGUUAAUAAAGAGUUGAGUCGAUUUCUCUGUAGUCAAUAGCGAUAGGUCGAUAGUUUUUCCGAUGAUGACGUUGGUCGAGCAAUUUGCAUCCCACCUAUUUACAGCAAAAUUUCGAUAAUAAAACACUUUUUAUUGUAA